rnacentral:rRNA from 1 species
GACGAACGCUGGCGGCGUGCUUAACACAUGCAAGUCGAACGGAAAGGCCCUGCUUUUGUGGGGUGCUCGAGUGGCGAACGGGUGAGUAACACGUGAGUAACCUGCCCUUGACUUUGGGAUAACUUCAGGAAACUGGGGCUAAUACCGGAUAGGAGCUCCUGCUGCAUGGUGGGGGUUGGAAAGUUUCGGCGGUUGGGGAUGGACUCGCGGCUUAUCAGCUUGUUGGUGGGGGAGUGGCUUACCAAGGCUUUGACGGGUAGCCGGCCUGGGAGGGUGACCGGCCACAUUGGGACUGAGAUACGGCCCAGACUCCUACGGGAGGCAGCAGUGGGGAAUAUUGCACAAUGGGCGGAAGCCUGAUGCAGCAACGCCGCGUGCGGGAUGACGGCCUUCGGGUUGUAAACCGCUUUCGCCUGUGACGAAGCGUGAGUGACGGUAAUGGGUAAAGAAGCACCGGCUAACUACGUG